GACGAACGCUGGCGGCGUGCUUAACACAUGCAAGUCGAACGAAGAGCGACGUAAGCUUGCUUCUAUCAAUCUUAGUGGCGAACGGGUGAGUAACGCGUAAUCAACCUGCCCUUCAGAGGGGGACAACAGUUGGAAACGACUGCUAAUACCGCAUACGAUCUAACCUCGGCAUCGAGGAUAGAUGAAAGGUGGCCUCUACAUGUAAGCUAUCACUGAAGGAGGGGAUUGCGUCUGAUUAGCUAGUUGGAGGGGUAACGGCCCACCAAGGCGAUGAUCAGUAGCCGGUCUGAGAGGAUGAACGGCCACAUUGGGACUGAGACACGGCCCAGACUCCUACGGGAGGCAGCAGUGGGGAAUCUUCCGCAAUGGACGAAAGUCUGACGGAGCAACGCCGCGUGAGUGAUGACGGCCUUCGGGUUGUAAAGCUCUGUUAAUCGGGACGAAAGGCCUUCUUGCGAAUAGUGAGAAGGAUUGACGGUACCGGAAUAGAAAGCCACGGCUAACUACGUG
rnacentral:rRNA from 1 species